rnacentral:rRNA from 1 species
UGCCAGACUCCUACGGGAGGCAGCAGUGAGGAAUAUUGGUCAAUGGCCGGAAGGCUGAACCAGCCAAGCCGCGUGAAGGACGAAGGUGCCAAGCAUUGUAAACUUCUUUUGUCAAGGGACAAAAUCAGGCUCGAGAGCCUGACCGAGGGUACUUGAAGAAAAAGCAUCGGCUAACUCCGUGCCAGCAGCCGCGGUAAUACGGAGGAUGCGAGCGUUAUCCGGAUUUAUUGGGUUUAAAGGGUGCGUAGGCGGUCUGUUAGGACAGCGGUAAAGGCCGGGGGCCCAACCCCGGCGAGCCGUUGAAACUGGCUGUCUUGAGAUGUCGAGAGGUAUGCGGAAUGCGCAGUGUAGCGGUGAAAUGCAUAGAUAUCACGCAGAACUCCGAUUGCGAAGGCAGCGUACCGGCGCCCAACUGACGCUGAAGCACGAAGGCGUGGGUAUCGAACAGGAUUAGAUACCCCUGUA